rnacentral:rRNA from 1 species
GAAGUCUAACAUGUGCGCGAGUCAUUGGGUUAUAAAACCUAAAGGCGGAAUGAAAGUGAAGGAAGCUUUGCUCUCUGAGGGAGGAUGGGGACGUCGGCUCAAAGGGCGGUCCCCCGCACUCCCGGGGCGUCUCACUCUCAUUGCGAGAAGAGGCGCACCCAGAGCGUACACGUUAGGACCCGAAAGAUGGUGAACUAUGCCUGGUCAGGACGAAGCCAGGGGAAACCCUGGUGGAGGUCCGUAGCGAUUCUGACGUGCAAAUCGAUCGUCAGAGCUGGGUAUAGGGGCGAAAGACUAAUCGAACCAUCUAGUAGCUGGUUCCUUCCGAAGUUUCCCUCAGGAUAGCUGGUGCCCGUGUGAGACGAGUCUCAUCCGGUAAAGCGAAUGAUUAGAGGCCUUGGGGCCGAAACGACCUCAACCUAUUCUCAAACUUUAAAUAGAUGAGAACUCCGGCUUGCUUGAAAGUGAAGCCGGAGACUCGGAUCAGGGUGCCCAGUGGGCCAAUUUUG